rnacentral:rRNA from 1 species
UAAUUAAUUGUUAGAUAUUUAACUUUCUCGAACUUAGAAGAGCUAACUGCCUAUUGAUUUUAUUGUGAAAUAAAUAUUUAAAAUUGGUAGUUUGCAGCGAAAAACUAUUCGUUUCUAAAUAUAUCUAGUUUUUAAAGAAAUAGAUUUAAUCUAAUUAACUUAGUAUAAUUUUUUAAUUUUUUAGUAUUUUGUACGGGUUAUUAAAUAUUCUAGGGGAUGAGCUUUAGAAUAAAAACUUAUAAUAAAAUUAUUACGACUUAAUUUAAAUAGGAUUAGAAAUUUUCAUUUUUAAGAGGGUGUUAUAAUUCUUCUUAGGUUAUUUUUAUUUAUAUGUUUGUUUAAGUAUUUUAUUUAAAUUAGGAUAUUAAUUUUUUUUGUCCGGUAAUUAUGAUAAAAUUAGUAUAUUAGUAUUGUUUAUAACAAUAAUAUUUACAGGUUAAUAAAAGGAAUUCGGCAAAAAGACUUUUCACCUGUUUAUUAAAAACAUGGCCUUUCGAUUAUUAUUUAAGGUCUGGCCUGCCCACUGAUUUGUUUAAAUGGCCGCGGUAAUUU